UGUGCAUUCAUCUUCUGCAGGGACCAUUUCAGUAGAGCCUUUUAAGACACAUGUUUUGGAAUACAGUCAAAUGCGUGCUGCUGUAUGACCAGCCUAUUUGAACUACUUAAGCAUCAACUAAUUAAUCUGCAAGUGAAGAAUACUUCCAGCAUUACUCUAUAAUUAGACAAUCUCAGGAGGAAACAAGAGGAUUUCAAAGGGGAGUCAGAUGGUUUCGCAGACCGCUACAUCAUUUAUUUUUUCAUCACUCAGAUUAUGCCUCCAAAUCCUACAGAAGUAUAACAACCAUAGAACAGACAAACACCAACAGCAUCAACAACAGAGAAACUCAGUCCAGGAGGAUAUGAAACCCUUUGUAAUAAAGAAAGCAACAUCCAUGAA
rnacentral:lncRNA from 10 species